rnacentral:rRNA from 1 species
UACGUAGGUGGCAAGCGUUGUCCGGAAUUAUUGGGCGUAAAGCGCGCGCAGGUGGUUUCUUAAGUCUGAUGUGAAAGCCCACGGCUCAACCGUGGAGGGUCAUUGGAAACUGGGGAACUUGAGUGCAGGAGAGAAGAGUGGAAUUCCACGUGUAGCGGUGAAAUGCGUAGAGAUGUGGAGGAACACCAGUGUCGAAGGCGACUCUUUGGCCUGUAACUGACACUGAGGCGCGAAAGCGUGGGGAGCAAACAGG